GUGGGAGUUGUAACCAAAAAGGUGUCUCUCUCUCCCUUGCAACCGUUCAGCAAUAACUGCCCCCAACCGGUCCUUAACUGCCUCCAACUGCUCCUGUCCCUGUCGGUUCUCUAUCCUGAAGCCAAGGCCAAGCCCUUUAACUGACCAUCCAUACCGUGGCCGCACCAUCUAACCAAACCACCAUAACCGUCCUUGUAACCGCCCCAACC
rnacentral:lncRNA from 1 species